CAGUCUGCUCCAGCCCAGAUUCAUCUACCAGUCUGCUCCAGCCCAGAUUCAUCUACCAGUCUGCUCCAGCCCAGAUUCAUCUACCAGCCUCCCAGUCUGCUCCAGCCCAGGUCAACCUCCCAGUCUGCUUCAGCCUAGGUCAACCUCCCAGCCUCCCAGUCUGCUCCAGCCCAGAUUCAUCUACCAGCCUCCCAGUCUGCUCCAGCUCAGAUUCAUCUACCAGCCUCCCAGUCUGCUCCAGCCCAGAUUCAUCUACCAGCCUUCCUGUCUGCUCCAGCCCAGAUUCAUCUACCAGCCUUCCUGUCUGCUCCAGCCCAGGUCAACCUCCCAGCCUCCCAGUCUGCUUCAGCCCAGGUCAACCUACCAGCCUUCCUGUCUGCUCCAGCCCAGGUCAACCUCCCAGUCUGCUUCAGCCCAGGUCAGAAUAACAGCCUCCCAGUCUGCUCCACCCAAACAACUACCCACAACUGCAAUCUUUAUCGAUUAAAAUGGGAAGCUCUUGGUCAGGAGAGAUGAUUCCCUGGACACCAGGUGUAUAAGUUCUGGUGUCCUGCAACUGACAGUGUAAUGCAGCUACUCAGUCAGACCAGGAUUGACACCCCUGAUAACAUCAUCAUCCACACUGGCACAAACAA